rnacentral:misc_RNA from 1 species
ACACUUAAAACACAUCUGUUUUCUAGUCUGUAGAUGAGAGUUAACAAUGAUUUAUGUACCUGUUAAAAAAAAUUUGUUCUGGCUUUCAAAACUGCCUCUUCAUAUCUGUUACGAAGAGAUCUGAAGAAAUAUAAUUUUCCCCCAUAGAAUAUUGAUCACCAAACAGACACAAAAAUUAAGAGCAAAGAAGCUGCCACUGUUGAAAAUGCAACUGGUUUUGCGUAGGCAGAAUUUGGCAGAUAUGGG